UACAGAGGGGGCAAGCGUUGUUCGGAAUUACUGGGCGUAAAGGGCGCGUAGGUGGCCUUCUAAGUUGAACGUGAAAUCCCUGGGCUCAACCCAGGAACUGCGUCCAAGACUGGGAGGCUUGAAUCCGGGAGAGGGAUGCGGAAUUCCAGGUGUAGCGGUGAAAUGCGUAGAUAUCUGGAGGAACACCGGUGGCGAAGGCGGCAUCCUGGACCGGUAUUGACACUGAGGCGUGAAAGCCAGGGGAGCAAACGGG
rnacentral:rRNA from 1 species